rnacentral:rRNA from 1 species
GACGAACGCUGGCGGCGCGCCUAACACAUGCAAGUCGAACGGAGCUGAGAGAAGCUUGCUUUUCUUAGCUUAGUGGCGAACGGGUGAGUAACGCGUGAGUAACCUGCCCUGGAGUGGGGGACAACAGUUGGAAACGACUGCUAAUACCGCAUAAGCCCACGAUCCGGCAUCGGAUUGAGGGAAAAGGAUUUAUUCGCUUCAGGAUGGACUCGCGUCCAAUUAGCUAGUUGGUGAGGUAACGGCCCACCAAGGCGACGAUUGGUAGCCGGACUGAGAGGUUGAACGGCCACAUUGGGACUGAGCGACGGCCCAGACUCCUACGGGAGGCAGCAGUGGGGGAUAUUGCACAAUGGGGGAAACACUGAUGCAGCGACGCCGCGUGGAGGAAGAAGGUUUUCGGAUUGUAAACUCCUGUCGUUAGGGACGAUAAUGGCGGUACCUAACAAGAAAGCACCGGCUAACUACGUG